CCUACGGGUGGCUGCAGUGGGGAAUAUUGCACAAUGGGCGCAAGCCUGAUGCAGCCAUGCCGCGUGUGUGAAGAAGGCCUUCGGGUUGUAAAGCACUUUCAGCGGGGAGGAAGGCGGUGAGGUUAAUAACCUCAUCGAUUGACGUUACCCGCAGAAGAAGCACCGGCUAACUCCGUGCCAGCAGCCGCGGUAAUACGGAGGGUGCAAGCGUUAAUCGGAAUUACUGGGCGUAAAGCGCACGCAGGCGGUCUGUCAAGUCGGAUGUGAAAUCCCCGGGCUCAACCUGGGAACUGCAUUCGAAACUGGCAGGCUAGAGUCUUGUAGAGGGGGGUAGAAUUCCAGGUGUAGCGGUGAAAUGCGUAGAGAUCUGGAGGAAUACCGGUGGCGAAGGCGGCCCCCUGGACAAAGACUGACGCUCAGGUGCGAAAGCGUGGGGAGCAAACAGGAUUAGUACCCAGUAGUC
rnacentral:rRNA from 1 species